rnacentral:rRNA from 1 species
AGAGUUUGAUCCUGGCUCAGAUUGAACGCUGGCGGCAUGCUUUACACAUGCAAGUCGAGCGGCAGCGCGGGGGCAACCCUGGCGGCGAGCGGCGAACGGGUGAGUAAUACAUCGGAACGUACCCCGUAGUGGGGGAUAACGCCGCGAAAGCGGCGCUAAUACCGCAUAUGCUCUGCGGAGGAAAGCGGGGGACUCGCAAGGGCCUCGCGCUAUGGGAGCGGCCGAUGUCCGAUUAGCUUGUUGGCGGGGUAAAGGCCCACCAAGGCGACGAUCGGUAGCUGGUCUGAGAGGAUGAUCAGCCACACUGGGACUGAGACACGGCCCAGACUCCUGCGGGAGGCAGCAGUGGGGAAUAUUGGACAAUGGGCGCAAGCCUGAUCCAGCAAUGCCGCGUGGGUGAAGAAGGUCUUCGGAUUGUAAAGCCCUUUCGGCGGGGACGAUGAUGACGGUACCCGCAGAAGAAGCCCCGGCUAACUUCGUGCCAGCAGCCGCGGUAAUAC